rnacentral:rRNA from 1 species
CGACAAGUAGGGCGGGACACGAGAAAUCCUGUCUGAAUAUGGGGGGACCAUCCUCCAAGGCUAAAUACUCGUAAUCGACCGAUAGUGAACCAGUACCGUGAGGGAAAGGCGAAAAGAACCCCGGGAGGGGAGUGAAAUAGAUCCUGAAACCGUGUGCAUACAAACAGUAGGAGCGGACUUGUUCCGUGACUGCGUACCUUUUGUAUAAUGGGUCAGCGACUUACAUUCAGUGGCAAGGUUAACCAGAUCGGGAAGCCGUAGAGAAAUCGAGUCCGAACAGGGCGAUAGUCGCUGGGUGUAGACCCGAAACCAAGUGAUCUACUCAUGGCCAGGAUGAAGGUGCGGUAACACGCACUGGAGGUCCGAACCCACUAAUGUUGAAAAAUUAGGGGAUGAGCUGUGGGUAGGGGUGAAAGGCUAAACAAACUUGGAAAUAGCUGGUUCUCUCCGAAAACUAUUUAGGUAGUGCCUCAAGUAUCACCAUCGGGGGUAGAGCACUGUUAUGGCUAGGGGGUCAUCGCGACUUACCAAACCAUUGCAAACUCCGAAUACCGAUGAGUGCGAGCUUGGGAGACAGACGUCGGGUGCUAACGUCCGGCGUCAAGAGGGAAACAACCCAGACCGCCAGCUAAGGUCCCAAAGAUUGGCUAAGUGGAAAACGAAGUGGGAAGGCUAAAACAGUCAGGAUGUUGGCUUAGAAGCAGCCAUCAUUUAAAGAAAGCGUAAUAGCUCACUGAUCGAGUCGUCCUGCGCGGAAGAUGUAACGGGGCUAAGCCAGUCACCGAAGCUGCGGAUAUGCGUAAGCAUAUGGUAGGAGAGCGUUCUGUAAGCCUGCGAAGGUGUCUUGUAAAGGAUGCUGGAGGUAUCAGAAGUGCGAAUGCUGACAUGAGUAGCGAUAAUGGGGGUGAAAAGCCCCCACGCCGUAAGCCCAAGGUUUCCUGUUCAACGUUCAUCGGAGCAGGGUGAGUCGGCCCCUAAGGCGAGGCAGAGAUGCGUAGCUGAUGGGAAGCAGGUUAAUAUUCCUGCACCGUCGUAUGAUGCGAUGGGGGGACGGAUCGCGGAAGGUUGUCUGACUGUUGGAAUAGUCAGUUUCUGCUUCAUAGAAGGCGCUUAGGCAAAUCCGGGCGCGUAAUUCAAGGGAGUGGGACGAGGCAGNNNNNNNNNNNNNNNNNNNNNNNNNNNNNNNNNNNNNNNNNNNNNNNNNNNNNNNNNNNNNNNNNNNNNNNNNNNNNNNNNNNNNNNNNNNNNNNNGCUGAAGCAAUCGGAAGUGGUUCCAAGAAAAGCCUCUAAGCUUCAGUCAUACGAGACCGUACCGCAAACCGACACAGGUGGGCGAGAUGAGUAUUCUAAGGCGCUUGAGAGAACUCGGGAGAAGGAACUCGGCAAAUUGGUACCGUAACUUCGGGAAAAGGUACGCCCUUGUAGCUUGGCUGAUUUACUUCAGUAGGGCGAACGGGUUGCAAUAAACUGGUGGCUGCGACUGUUUAAUAAAAACACAGCACUCUGCAAACACGAAAGUGGACGUAUAGGGUGUGACGCCUGCCCGGUGCUGGAAGAUUAAAUGAUGGGGUGCAAGCUCUUGAUUGAAGUCCCAGUAAACGGCGGCCGUAACUAUAACGGUCCUAAGGUAGCGAAAUUCCUUGUCGGGUAAGUUCCGACCUGCACGAAUGGCGUAACGAUGGCCACACUGUCUCCUCCCGAGACUCAGCGAAGUUGAAGUGUUUGUGAUGAUGCAAUCUACCCGCGGCUAGACGGAAAGACCCCAUGAACCUUUACUGUAGCUUUGCAUUGGACUUUGAAUCAAUCUGUGUAGGAUAGGUGGGAGGCUUUGAAGCGGGGACGCCAGUUCUCGUGGAGCCAUCCUUGAAAUACCACCCUGGUUCAUUUGAGGUUCUAACCUUGGCCCGUUAUCCGGGUCGGGGACAGUGCAUGGUAGGCAGUUUGACUGGGGCGGUCUCCUCCUAAAGUGUAACGGAGGAGUUCGAAGGUACGCUAGGUACGGUCGGACAUCGUGCUAAUAGUGCAAUGGCAUAAGCGUGCUUAACUGCGAGACUGACAAGUCGAGCAGGUACGAAAGUAGGACAUAGUGAUCCGGUGGUUCUGUAUGGAAGGGCCAUCGCUCAACGGAUAAAAGGUACUCUGGGGAUAACAGGCUGAUUCCUCCCAAGAGUUCAUAUCGACGGGGGAGUUUGGCACCUCGAUGUCGGCUCAUCACAUCCUGGGGCUGUAGCCGGUCCCAAGGGUAUGGCUGUUCGCCAUUUAAAGUGGUACGUGAGCUGGGUUUAAAACGUCGUGAGACAGUUUGGUCCCUAUCUGCCGUGGGCGUUGGAAAUUUGAAGGGGGCUGCUCCUAGUACGAGAGGACCGGAGUGGACAGACCUCUGGUGUACCGGUUGUCACGCCAGUGGCAUUGCCGGGUAGCUAAGUCUGGAAGAGAUAACCGCUGAAAGCAUCUAAGCGGGAAACUUGCCUUAAGAUGAGAUUUCCCAGAGCCUUGAGCUCUUUGAAGGGUCGUUCGAGACCAGGACGUUGAUAGGUCAGGUGUGGAAGUGCAGUAAUGCAUUAAGCUAACUGAUACUAAUUGCCCGUACGGCUUGUCCCUAUAACCUUAGCAGGUU